UGGGGUUUUUGGGGACACUGGGGACAUUUGGGGACAUUUGGGGUCAUUUAUUUGGGGCCAUUUGGGACCAUUUGGGUGGGUUUGGGGGACAUUUAGGGUGGUUUUGGGGCCAUUUUGGGUGUUUGGGGGGCCAUUUUGGGUGCUUUUGGGGCCAUUUUGGGUGCUUUUGGGGGAUAUUUUGGGAUUUUGGGUUUUUGGGACCAUUUUGGGGCCAUUUUGGGGCCAUUUGGGACCAUUUGGGUGGGUUUGGGGGACAUUUAGGGUGGUUUUGGGGCCAUUUUGGGUGUUUGGGGGGCCAUUUUGGGUGCUUUUGGGGCCAUUUUGGGUGCUUUUGGGGGAUAUUUUGGGAUUUNNNNNNNNNNGACACUGGGGACAUUUGGGGCCAUUUGGGGCCAUUUUGGUGGUUUUGGGGGGACAUUUGGUGGGUUUGGGGGCCAUUUUGGGUGCUUUUGGGGUUAUAUUUUGGGAUUUGGGGUUUUUGGGACCAUUUUGGGGUCAUUUUGGGGCCAUUUGGGACCAUUUGGGUGGGUUUGGGGGACAUUUAGGGUGGUUUGGGGGCCAUUUUGGGUGGUUUUGGGGCCAUUUUGGGUGGUUUUAGGGCCAUUUUGGGUGCUUUUGGGCUUAUAUUUUGGGAUUUUGGGUUUUUGGGACCAUUUUGGGGCAAUUUUGGGGCAAUUUGGGACCAUCCUUGCCCUCCUUCCCCCGCAGGUCCCCCCAGAAGAAGACGCGGCCACCCCGCGGCCCCCGGUGACGUCCCCGCGUCCCCCCCGGGCCACCAAACGUCCCCAAAUUUCCCCAAAUCCCCCCUUGGGGGCCCCAAAACCACCCAAAAAGCCCCGGCUGGCCCCGGGGGGCCGCUGUCCCCAAACGUCCCCAAAUUCGUGUCCCCAAAUGUCCCAAACGACCCCAAAUUCGUGUCCCCAAACGUCCCCAAAUUCGUGUCCCCAAAUGUCCCCAAAUUCGUGUCCCCAAACGUCCCAAAAGUCCCGAACCUCAAUGUCCCCAAAUUCGUGUCCCCAAAUGUCCCAAACGACCCCAAAUUCGUGUCCCCAAACGUCCCCAAAUUCGUGUCCCCAAAUGUCCCCAAAUUCGUGUCCCCAAAUGUCCCAAACGACCCCAAAUUCAUGUCCCCAAACCUCGAGGACCUCCGAUUUGUCCCCGUGUCCCCAAAUGUCCCCAAAUUUGUGUCCCCAAACCUCCUCGAGGUCCUCAAACCCCUCCCCAUGUCCCCAAAUGUCCCAAAUGUCCCCAAAUUUGUGUCCCCAAACCUCCUGGAGGUCCUCCAAGCCAUGUUCUCAACGGUUGAGGGCCUCCAACCCAACCUCGUGUCCCCAAAUGUCCCCAAAUUCGUGUCCCCAAACCUCCUUGAGGUCCUCCAACCCAUCCCAACCUUCUCCAACCUCCUCCAACCCAUGUCCUCAACCCCCGUUGAGGUCCUCCAACCCAUCCCAACCUCUUCAUACCUCUUCAAGGUCCUCCAGCUCUUGGCCUCCAACCUCGUUGGGGGCCUCCACCCCAUCCCCAUGUCCUCAACCCUCCUUGACCUCCUCCAGCUCUUGUCCUCCAACCUCUUCGAGGUCCUCCACCCCAUCCCAACCUCCUCCAACGUCCUUGACCUUCUCCAACCCACGUCCUCCAACCUCCUCGAGGUCCUCCAAGCCAUGUUCUCAAACGUUGAUGUCCUCCAACCCAUCUCUACCUCCUCCAACCUCCUCAACCUCCUCCAACUCUUGUCCUUCACCCUCCUUGAGGUCCUCCACCCCACAUCCUCCAACCUUCUCGAGGUCUUCCAAGCCAUGUUCUCAACGCUUGAGGUCCUCCAACCCAUCCCGACCUCCUCCAACCUCCUUGACCUCCACCCCAUGUCCUCAACCCUCCUUGAGGUCCUCCAACUCUUCUCCUCCAACCUCUUUGAGGUCCUCCAACUCAUCCUCAUGUCCUCCAACCUCCUCGAUCUCCUCCACCUCUUCUCCUCCAACCUCCUUGAGGUCCUCCAACCCAUCCCCACCUCCUCCAACCUCCUCCAACUCUUCUCCUCCAACCUCUUCGAGGUCCUCCAAGCCAUGUUCUAAAAGGUUGAGGUCCUCCACCCCAUCCCAACCUUCUCCAACCUCCUCCACCCCACAUCCUCCACCCCCGUUGAGGUCCUCCAACCCAUCCCAACCUCCUCAACCCUCCUCAACCUCUAACCUCUUCCACCUCUUCUCCUCCAACCUCUUCGAGGUCCUCCACCCCAUCUCUACCUCCUCCAACCUCCUCCAACCCAUGUCUUAGAACCUCCUCGAGGUCCUCCAAGCCAUGUUCUCAAAGGUUGAGGUCCUCCAACCCAUCCCAACCUCCUCCAACCUCCUCAACCUCCUCCACCCC
rnacentral:lncRNA from 1 species